CCUCGGAGAGUUUGAUCCUGGCUCAGGACGAACGCUGGCGGCGUGCCUAAUACAUGCAAGUCGAGCGAACAGAAGGGAGCUUGCUCCCGGAUGUUAGCGGCGGACGGGUGAGUAACACGUG
rnacentral:rRNA from 1 species